rnacentral:lncRNA from 1 species
CCGGCAGAUUAGCCACCACAGAGUACUGUAGGCAGGCCGGCAGAUUAGCCACCACAGAGUACUGUAGGCAGGCCGGCAGAUUAGCCACCACAGAGUACUGUAGGCAGGCCGGCGGAUUAGCCACCACAGACUACUGUAGGCAGGCCGGCUGGCGGAUUAGCCACCACAGAGUACUGUAGGCAGGCCGGCAGAUUAGCCACCACAGAGUACUGUAGGCAGGCCGGCGGAUUAGCCACCACAGAGUACUGUAGGCAGGCCGGCGGAUUAGCCACCACAGAGUACUCUAGGCAGGCCGGCGGAUUAGCCACCGCAGAGUACUGUAGGCGGGCAGGCCGGCAGAUUAGCCAACACAGAGUACUGUAGGCAGGCCGGCGGAUUAGCCACCGCAGAGUACUGUAGGCAGGCAGGCCGGCAGAUUAGCCACCACAGAGUACUGUAGGCAGGCCGGCGGAUUAGCCACCACAGAGUACUGUAGGCAGGCAGGCCGGCGGAUUAACCACCACAGAGUACUGUAGGCAGGCAGGCCGGCGGAUUAACCACCACAGAGUACUGUAGGCAGGCCGGCGGAUUAGCCACCACAGAGUACUGUAGGCAGGCCGGCUGGCGGAUUAGCCACCACAGAGUACUGUAGGCAGGCAGGCGGAUUAGCCACCACCGAGUACUGUAGGCAGGCCGGCUGGCGGAUUAGCCACCACAGAGUACUGUAGGCAGGCCGGCUGGCUGAUUAGCCACCACAGAGUACUGUAGGUAGGCAGGCUGGCGGAUUAGCCACCACAGAGUACUGUAGGCAGGCUGGCGGAUUAGCCACCACACUAGUCAAAGAGCAAGUCACAAUUAACAUCUGUUCAUCUACACUCCAGUCUCUAGUGUCUAUUUCUGGUGCUUGUCAAACUAGAAAGACAGAUCGUUAAUGAAUUGACUAAUUGUUUAGCCAUGGAAAACUUUCUAACAGCCUAUAAACAAAUAUCAAAACCCUCUUAUUGAACAUAAUUGAUGUUUUGGGAAAUACUUCUUCCAGUGUUUCCGUCGGCAUGACGCAGCUUUUUGUUUGUGCAUCUAGUCUGAAUACAAUUACAUUAAAACCCAUUUAAUCCAGCUCCUUGGUACAGCCAGACACAGCAGAAUUAUCUCAUGCAGUUAUAAUGAUGUGUUUUACAAUGCAAAGCACUGCCUGUAUCUGCGCUGUCAGACCGACGCUGGAGUCAAGAGGGUCCCCCACGUCUCAGCGCACCUAGGCCUGAAAAAUCUGCCCGUUUUCUCCUUAAACAUCACUGGAUGUCAUUAUUUUCUAAAUAAAUUAUGUAUGACAGUGGCUAACUUCAGGCUUGAUCCAGCAUUUCUUUAAUUAUCCAGAAAAAAACUAAAACAAAAAUAACAUAAUAAACUAAAUUCAAGUAUUUGAGAGAACCUAAAUUGAGAAAAUCCAACCCAUAGGCUUUUAAGAAUGGAUGAACAUGUGUAAAGAGAGAAAGAAGUGGAAGCUGUUUAGAGCUGAAUGAGCUUUUUAUAAUACAGCAACUGUAGCAGCAGAAUUAUUUCAGAUUCAGUUGAGAUGCUUCAGGUUUCAUUCUGCCACUCAAAGACACAAUGAGAUCAGAGAUUUUGGGAGGUAAUCUUCUACGGCAGCUAAGAUGAAAAGAAAAGAGAGAGAAAGCGUGACAGAGAGAGAGUGUAAGACAAAGAGAGAGAGACAGAGAGAGAUUGUAAGAGAGAGAGAGUCAGAGAGACAGAGAGACAGAGAGAGACAGAAAGAGACAGAAAGACAAAGAGACAGAGAGAGGUGUGUGUAUAACCUACAUGGCAGCCAGGCAGACAGGCAGACUGACAGGCGGGCAAACAGGCAGCCAGGCAGACAGGCAGACUGACAGACCGACAGGCGGGCAAACAAGCAGACAGGCAGACGGGCAGCCAGGCAGGCAGGCAGACAGACAGACAGACAUCAAUGCAUCUGCAUUAUGUAACAUCUCUCAUUAACCUGAACUCCGAUACAACAGAAAUCAAUAGCCACGCUGAGCUGAGAGAUAAAGCAUCACAGACUGACUGUGUGUGUGUGUGUGCAUUGCUCGUUGCGCUCAGCUCUCUCCUCCCAGUCUGUGAAAGAUAUACCAGGUAUUCGGAGAGAUAUAAUUGCAUAUGAGUAGCGAACACAUUUACUGAGAUAACAAACUCAUUUAGCCUUAAGAGGGAGACAGCUAUUGUAUUGAUUAUCCUUCAUCUGUGGUGCCUCAUGUUCAACAGUACACACUGAUCAUGCUGCUCUGUGUUCUGUAUGGAAACACUCCCCACCCUCAGACAGAGAUGUGAUGGAUGGGUUGCACUUCAUUGGAUAUCAGAACCCAUUAUCAGCCGGAAAAUGUCAUCCUGGGACGUUUUUGCAAAAAGGUAAAAUGUCACAGGGUGGACGUUUUUCUCAAUAACGUUAGGGUUAGGGUCAGUGUUAUGAUUAGGAUUGAGCUGGGAGUGGACAUUAAGCUAGGGUUAGGGUUAUGGUUAGAGCCUCAACCCUAGACAUAACCCUAACCUUAAUCCAAUGAACAAUGAAUACAUUUCCCCCUCCCCACAUUACAUGGUAGAAAGGUAAGUCUCUCUUCAAGCCUGACCUAGACUUCAUGUGCUUUUGACUGACAUUGGCAGAACGGUUGAGGCUAGAAACAAAAUGCACGCAUGGUAUCAUUCUACAUCUGACCGUGAAAUUAACUAUUCACAGUAAAAACUUGGUCCCAAAGAGAACAAGGAUUUUCAUCCAUAGAAAAGCAUUACCUACAUAACCAUGUGCUGGCUGAGGCUUGAGCUUGCACACAACCAAUCGUGACCUUAUAGGGAUGCCUUGUGUUGAGGAUUAGCUUCCCAUGGCAACAGGAAGUGUCUUAAUUAAUCCUCAACAUGGUCCUUCAUUCUCUCCCUGCAGUUUCACAAAAACACUGUUUUCCAUCCUCUGUAGAACGGUCAAUUCUUAAAACUCAGGGCAUCGUUAAGGAGUGUUCCCAGGAGGCCGUACAUUGAAUUUCAGCUUCAUGCGAUUACCGGAAGGGACUUGCUUGGGGGUCAUAGGGGCGUUUUCAAAGGGUUAAAAAGAUUUAACCUUCCAAAUUUGAUAUAUUUGUGACCGGGGGACCCGACAUAUGAAAUAUCAAAGUCGAUCAACCCAAAAGCAUUUCUGACCUCCAUUGGACACAAUGGUCUACAGUUCUAGAAACUAAGAGGCUUUUGAUGAACUCUUGAAUGAAUUCUGAAGAGGAUAUUGGCACAUUUAUUUUUUAUUGACUUGAAACUUGAAACCGUUUGUGUCUUUUUGCCUGCCUGCCUGCCUGCCUGCCUGCCUGCCUGCAUGCCUGCCUGCAUAUCUGUCUGUCUGUUUGUGUCUGUCUGUUUGUCGGCCUGUCUGUCUGUCUGAUUAUAGGAAGUGACUUAAUUGGGGGUCAUAGGGCCGGUUUCGAAGGGUUAAAAUGUUUAAUCUUUCCAGAUGUUACAUAUUUGUGACCAGGGUACCGUCAUGACCUGGUAUAUGAAAUUUGAAGUCAAUCAACCCAAAAGCAUUUCUGAUCUCCAUUGGACACAAUGGUCUGCAGUUCUGGAAACUAAGAGCCUUAUUAAGAGGAUAUUGGUAAAAAUAUAUAUACUGACUUGAAACUUGAAACAGUUUGUGUCUGUCUGUCUGUCUGCCUGCCUAACUGCCUGCCUGUCAGCAUGCAUGCAUGCCUACCGGUCUGUCUGUCUGUCUGUCCAUCUGCCUAACUGCCUGUCUGUCUGCCUGCCUACUUGUCUGUCUGUCUGCGUCUGUUUGUCUGUCUGUGUCUGCCUGUCUGUCUGAAUGUUGGGAUGUCUGUGGGAGAGAGGAGGAAGCGAGAGGAGGCAGAGAGAGGGGAGGGGGAGAGGAGAGGAGGGGGAGCCAGGCAAAGAAGGGGUGAGACAGAAUGGAGGAGGAGGAGAGAGAGAAAAUGGGGAGAGAAAGGGAGGAGGAGAGAGGGGAGAGAGAGGAGGGAGAAAGUGAAGGAGGGAGGGGGAGAGAGGAGAGAGAGUGAGGAGGAGGAAGGAGAGAGAGGGAGGGGGUGAAGGAGGGGGAGGGGGAGAGAGGAAGGAGAGAGAGAUGAGAGGAAGGGGAGGGAGGGAAAGAAGGAAGGAGAGAAUGGAGGGGGAAGAGGGGGAGAGAGAAGGGGGAGAGUGAGGGAGGGGAGAGAGAGAGGGAGAGGGUGAAGAAGGGAUGGGGAGAGAGGGGAGAGAGAGAGUCAACAGACAUACUGAGGUGGGAGAGAGACGAGAGAGAGUAAUGAGAGGGGGAGGGAGGGCAAGAAGGAAGGAGAGAGAGAAUGGAGGGAGGAGGAGAGAGAGAGAGCAGGGGGAGAGUGAGGGAAGGGGAGAGAAAGGGGGUGAAGGAGAGACGGGGAGAGAGAGGAGGAGGUGGAGGGAGGGAGGGAAGAGAGAGACAGAAAGUGUGAGAUAGGAGGAGAGGAAGCAAGAGGCGAAUGAGAGUGAGGUAGAGAGUGAGAGAGUGAGAAAGAGAGACAGACACGAGAUAAACGAGAAAAACAUUGACUGCAAUGAAUUGAGAAAAACAUCAAUCCUGUGACACUCAUUUUUUCCCAUGUAUUGAGAAAAACGUCAUCCACCACACACACGCACACACACACACACAC